UAUUCUGCCAUAUUUCAUUUCAUUGUCAUCAUCUUAUAGUACAAAAUCAUAACUUUAAGGCCCGUGAAAUGUGGGAAUAAAAACAAUUUUUUAAUGCGUGCACAAAAACCAAAUGACAGCUUCUAAAAUAUUCUAGCAUAAAGUAUAUAAUUUACGAUUCUUUUUCUAAAGGCAGAACUCAUUCUUCUCAAAACACGCAGUAGCCUUUACGACACUUAAGAACAUAAUUUUUCGCCCAUGGACAAUCUUUAUCUGUUAGACAAGGAACAUGAAUAUGUAAAUUAGAGAAAUCACAUACUAUCAUGACAAGAAAUAUGGAAACAAAUAGAAUCAUAACAUAAAUAAACUUCAGAGUUUCAACCAUUUUUUUCGCUCUU
rnacentral:lncRNA from 1 species